GACGUAGGGCGCGAGCGUUGUCCGGAAUUAUUGGGCGUAAAGGGCUCGUAGGCGGUUUGUCGCGUCGGGAGUGAAAACCUUGGGCUUAACUCAGGGCUUGCUUUCGAUACGGGCAGACUAGAGGUAUGCAGGGGAGAACGGAAUUCCUGGUGUAGCGGUGAAAUGCGCAGAUAUCAGGAGGAACACCGGUGGCGAAGGCGGUUCUCUGGGCAUGAUCUGACGCUGAGGAGCGAAAGUGUGGGGAGCGAACAGG
rnacentral:rRNA from 1 species